GACGAACGCUGGCGGCGUGCUUAACACAUGCAAGUCGAAUGGAAAGGCCCCUUUGGGGGUACUCGAGUGGCGAACGGGUGAGUAACACGUGAGUAACCUGCCCUUGACUUCGGGAUAACUUCAGGAAACUGGGGCUAAUACCGGAUAGGAAUCCUUGCUGCAUGGUGGGGGUUGGAAAGCUUCGGCGGUUUUGGAUGGACUCGCGGCUUAUCAGCUUGUUGGUGGGGUAGUGGCUUACCAAGGCUUUGACGGGUAGCCGGCCUGAGAGGGCGACCGGCCACAGUGGGACUGAGAUACGGCCCAGACUCCUACGGGAGGCAGCAGUGGGGAAUAUUGCACAAGGGGCGGAAGCCUGAUGCAGCAACGCCGCGUGCGGGAGGACGGCCUUCGGGUUGGAAACCGCUUUCAGCAGGGGCGAAGCUUGUGGUGACGGUACCUGCAGAAGAAGCACCGGCUAACUACGUG
rnacentral:rRNA from 1 species